UUUGUGCGGCGGCACGGCUCUGCAAUUUCCCCAGUGUUGCUCACCUCUGCGCAAUUACAUUACGCGGUAGUUCGAGUGUCAAGCCGUGCUCUGAGCGACUUGGACGUCUUAGUACCCAAUUGUCUUCUUGCGUGAAGCAAGUGGAUGGGUCGGUGGUUCAAACAUUU
rnacentral:snoRNA from 1 species